GACCGGAGGACACAGGGAAGGUACAGAAGGGACAACUCAACAGUAUGUGAACAGAACCCGGCUCAGCAGAUGCACAAGACGCAGCCGAGCGGGAGGGUGAAGUGUAGUGGGCUCUUGAGGACAGGGAGGUAUCCCCAUGGACGUGUGUGCAUGGUGUGGUCACCAGAUCUGUUCUCUGACCCGCAUGUACCUUGCUGGGUAUAGUGGCUCCUCCGUGCACUGCCAUGAGCCAGCCUCUGCCAGCUGCCAAGCUAGAGAGAGACAGUGGGGCCAGAGAGUCCCUCUGUUUCCAUGAUGAGGCAAAAAUCCACACCAAGAGGAACUAAGCGGGGAGGAAGGAGGGGGUGUGUUGGAUGUGGUACCAGGAGACUUGGGUAAGCGGCAGCCUUUCCUCCUCUUCCCAAGGCCUGUGGAGUAGACUUUGAGAUUCGAGCCUUCUGUGCCAAAUCUAUAGAAGAAAAAAGCCACAAAAGGAACUCCGUGCGGCUUAUCAUCAGAAAGGUACAGUUUGCUCCUGAGACACCCGGCCCCCAGCCAUCAGCUGAAACCACACGCCACUUCCUCAUGUCUGACCGGAGGUCCCUGCACCUAGAGGCUUCCCUGGACAAAGAGCUGUACUACCAUGGGGAACCCCUCAAUGUCAACGUCCACGUCACCAACAAUUCUGCCAAGACCGUCAAGAAGAUCAGAGUGUCUG
rnacentral:lncRNA from 1 species